UUUUUGGUGUUGACGCAUCACCCGACUGUUGAGAAACUUGUUUUGAUCAAAUUGAUCAAUUAUUAAAGUAACCAGCUAAUACAGUCGUACCUCCAGAGGAGUCAUUUCCUGCCCCAAAUGGACAGUCCGAGCCUCGUCUGGAGUCACCACCUGUUACACUCAUCCUCACUGACGAGCUUUCUGAGUCCUCUGUUCGAUGCCAAGCACAUCUCGGCAAACAUCAAUUACAUCCACACCAG